AGGGGAAGAAAGUCUCAUGGGUAAUAUCUUGAACGUUGGCGUUACCUAAGAAGAAGCACUGGCUAACUCUGUGCCAGCAGCCGCGGUAAUACAGAGAGUGCGAGCGUUAAUCGGAAUCAUGGGCGUAAAGGCGCGUAGGUGGAUAUUUAAGUCGGAUGUGAAAGCCCUGGCUUAACCUAGGAAUGCACGAUACUGUAUCUGAGUAUGGUAGAGGGAGUGGAAUUUCGGUGUAGCGGUGAAAUGCGUAGAUAUCGGAARGAACACAGUGGCGAAGGCGGCUUCCUGGACCAAUACUGACACUGAGGGCGAAAGCGUGGGGAGCAAACAGGAUUAGAGACCCUGGUAGUCCACGCCGUCAACGAUGAGAACUAGCUGUUGGGAGUUUACUUUCUAGUAGCGAAGCUAACGCGUUAAGUUCUCCGCCUGGGGAGUACGGCCGCAAGGUUAAAACUCAAAGAAAUUGACGGGGGCCCGCACAAGCGGUGGAGCAUGUGGUUUAAUUCGAUGCAA
rnacentral:rRNA from 1 species